AGCUUAUAAAAUAUAUUACACUUUAUUUAAAAAUUUCUGCAUAGUUUAUACAGGUAUUAAAGUAAAUAUAAUACCCCUGCUAUAGCUGCGGGUGAGAGAUGCUAAGCAGAAAGAUUAUUUUGACCCUCUAAUAUUAAAAGUACAUUCUUUAAAAAGUGCUAAUAUCUGUAAAAUAUAAUGAAAACUGGUGUAGCCCUCUUAAGAUAUGUAAAAUGCAUUGCAAUUUUUUUAUAGAAAGGAUUUGUAUUCAUCUACAUGUUGCUAACCUUGUCAGAGACAACAACAUAUUUGGACAAGAUGUGGCAUUACAAAUAUCGCUGCAGAACGGCGGUGUAUAUUUGAACAGACCCACAAACAUUAAUACCGGCUUAGCUUUUUGUGAUUGUCUUAGAAACUUAGUAAUUUAUUAUAGUCAAAUGGCUUAAACAGGCACAUUUUAGUAAAGCAGUAUUACCUGUUACACACUGCAAUACUGCUUGGGGAAAAGGUGGAGUUUUUAAAUGUGCAUGUUCUGCAGGAUUAGGGUUUUCUAUCUUUGUAUUUAAACCGGCUUCUCUCUAGGGCAAAGAUGGAAGUUUAGUUGUGUAUAUUUUAAAAUUGCAAGAUAGAUACCCCUCAAAUCGGAGUUUGCUAAAAUGAACCAAUGAGCCAGUUAAGAUGUAAAUUCACAUUUUCAGCAGAAAGAUGAAAGCAUAUUUGUUUGUGACUUCAACAUCCCCCAGAGACAUCACAGACAAGUGAAAAAUCCUAUAAGCAAGCCAAUUACAUGAAAUAAUCUCAAAUAUUUAUAUUUAAUAUUUAAAUUUCUGUUGUCCUGAAUCACAAGGCACAUGGAUAAUAGUUCUAUUGAAUUGCCACUGCAUUUGUCCCCACUGUUAGCAUAAAGAUUGUCAGGGUAGACAGGCUAAUGAAUAGAUAUGGCAAACAACCUAGACUAAAUUCUGCAAAGUAACUCUCAGUUACAAAGAAGUUCUGCUUUAGGGUACUUGAUUUUAGAUUUCUAAUUAAAAAAAAAAAAAAAAAAAGA
rnacentral:lncRNA from 1 species